CCCUAAAUGAAAGGCCGUCCGGCCUUUCUCGGGCCACCCUGGGCCUGGCUACAGAACGAAACUAAUAUAAAGAUACCCCAAGUACGGAACCACCCUGAGGGGUACAGUCAUCUGUGUUAAAUUAAUAAAACUAAAAAUAUAUAUCCAUAACAGUUACCCGUGGCUACAUUUCGGCGUGCACGUCGACACGCAAUCAGGCUCUUUCGACGCGAUCCUUCAGGCGGCGCUAGAUACAAGUUGCGACCGGACGCGCUCGUCGCAGGCAGGUCAGUUCUAAUCUUACCAGAAAACAUAUAUUUCUGAUGGUCUUAGGAACUGAGACCACUGCUCCUCUAUCCAUCUCCAGACGGGUCCACCCACAUGUAGAUAUGCACACAUACCUGGCGUGAUGACAUCAUUGCAGCUACUGUGUUGAAAGCAGCAGUAUGGGAGGUAAAAGGACAUUUCAUGAAUUAUAAUUACUGGGUAAAUGUAAAAUCAUGU
rnacentral:lncRNA from 1 species